CUAUGUAUGAUUCAUUCAGCAGCCUCUAUCCUUUUACCCAGCCUUUCCCAGUUCAUUUUCCUUGUGAAAUGAGCCCUGUCCCUAGCACCACGUCAGCAGCAUCAGGAGUGGUGCAUGUGACUAAUCCCCAAACCCUCAGGCAGGGAUCACAGCAGGAUGGUCUGUCCCUUCUCUCCCAUGUGUUCCCUCUCGGAUGUUUUCCUCCAGGGUUACAAUGAGACAGGGUGUCAUUCAAAGAUGUCAAGCACCCAACAGCUCCUGUUGGUUUCAGCACUUUUGAAAAUCAGGUCACUUCAGGAAUGUACCUGUUGGACAAUCAAAGGAGUUGCUCCAUUCCUAUGGACCCCA